CGCCCAUCAGCUAGCCCCACCCCCAAAUCUCAAUAAACCACUAUUAUUUAACCCCAAAAACACAAAAUACAGCUAAAUCAAACCAUUUUUCCAUCCAAGUACGGGCGACGGAAAAGAAACCCGAGGAGCAAUAGAGAAAGUACCGCAAGGGAACGCUGAAAGAGAAAUGAAAUAAACCAGUAAAGCCUAAAAAAGCAGAGAUUUUUCCUCGUACCUUUUGCAUCAUGAUUUAGCCAGAAUCCUUUAAGCAAAGAGAACUUUAGUUUAAAACCCCGAAACUGAGUGAGCUACUCCAAGACAGCCUAAAAAUAGGGCGAACCCGUCUCUGUGGCAAAAGAGUGGGACGAGCUUCGAGUAGAGGUGACAGACCUAUCGAACUCAGUUAUAGCUGGUUGCCUGUGAAUUGGAUAGAAGUUCAGCCUCUCGGCUUCUCCCUUCACCCCAACAUGGUUUUUAACCAUACCCAAUGAUACAAGAGAAACCGCGGGAGUUAGUCAAAGGAGGAACAGCUCCUUUGAACAAAGACACAACUUUACCAGGAGGGUAAAGAUCAUAAUCUUCAAGGCAAAAUGUUUUAGUGGGCCUAAAAGCAGCCAUCCUAAUAGAAAGCGUUAAAGCUCAAACAUAUCUCACCCCCUCAUAUCCUGAUAACUCAAUCUAAACCCCCUAAUUCUACCAGGCCGCCCCAUGCAAUACAUGGGGGCGACUAUGCUAAUAUGAGUAAUAAGAGGGCCUAAAAAGCUCUCUCCCUGCACACGCGUAAAUCGGAACGGACCCACCACCGAGCAUUAACGGCCCCAAACAAAGAGGGUACUGGAUAUAUACUAAUCAAACUAGAAAUUCAUCCAUCACAUUACCGUUGACCCUACACAGGUGUGCUAUUAAGGAAAGACCGAAAGGAAGAGAAGGAACUCGGCAAACACUUCAAGCCUCGCCUGUUUACCAAAAACAUCGCCUCUUGCAAAACCAAAGAAUAAGAGGUCCCGCCUGCCCGGUGACAAUAAAAGUUUAACGGCCGCGGUAUUUUGACCGUGCAAAGGUAGCGUAAUCACUUGUCUUUUAAAUGAAGACACGUAUGAAUGGCAUAACGAGGGCUUAACUGUCUCCUCUUCCUAGUCAAUGAAAUUGAUCUUCCCGUGCAGAAGCGGGAAUAAUUACAUAAGACGAGAAGACCCUAUGGAGCUUUAGACACUAAGACAGACCAUGUUAAUUAACCCUAAACAAAGAAUUAAACUAAAUGACACCCUGUCCUACUGUCUUCGGUUGGGGCGACCAUGGGGAAACACAAAACCCCCACGCGGAAUGAGAGGACUAACCCCCUAUCCCACCCUCCCACAAUUAAGAGUUACAACUCUAACCAACAGAACUUCUGACCAAACAUGAUCCGGCAACGCCGAUCAACGAACCAAGUUACCCUAGGGAUAACAGCGCAAUCCCCUUUUAGAGUCCAUAUCGACAAGGGGGUUUACGACCUCGAUGUUGGAUCAGGACAUCCUAAUGGUGCAGCCGCUAUUAAGGGUUCGUUUGUUCAACGAUUAAAGUCCUACGUGAUCUGAGUUCAGACCGGAGUAAUCCAGGUCAGUUUCUAUCUAUGAAAUGAUCUUUUCUAGUACGAAAGGACCGAAGAGAAGAGGCCCAUGCCAAGGGUACGCCUCCCCCUCACCUAAUGAAAUCAUAUAAAAUAGGUAAAAGGGCAUACUCCCUUAAUGCCUCAGAAAACGGCAU
rnacentral:rRNA from 1 species